ensembl:lncRNA
CAGAAACCUGCUGCUUGAAUAUAUGUGAUUGUUUCACAGCGGCGUGCAGCAGAGCGUCUUCCCUUUUUCAAUAUUAAAUUUCAGCAUUUAAUUACCUUCAAUAAAAGACUUUGGCUAAUUUGAGGCAUUCGUGUUUGCCUUCCAGCCUCAAAUCCUAAUUAAAGCCUAAAAAGGUUCGAAGCCUCAUAAGAUAAGAUAAGACAAGACAAGACAAGACGAAAUAAGACAAGAUAAGAUAAAAUAUGAUAAGAUAAAAUAAGAUAAGAUAAAAUAAGAUAAGAUAAGACAAGAUAAAAUAAGAUAAAAUAAGAUAAGAUAAAAUAAGAUAAGGUAAGAUAAAAUAAGAUAAGAUAAAAUAAGAUAAGAUAAAAUAAGAUAAAAUAAGAUAAAAUAAGAUAAGAUAAAAUAAGAUAAGAUAAGACAAGAUAAAAUAAGAUAAAAUAAAAUAAGAUAAGAUAAAAUAAGAUAAGAUAAGACAAGAUAAAAUAAGAUAAAAUAAGAUAAGAUAAAAUAAGAUAAGGUAAGAUAAAAUAAGAUAAGAUAAAAUAAGAUAAGAUAAAAUAAGAUAAAAUAAGAUAAAAUAAGAUAAGAUAAAAUAAGAUAAGAUAAGACAAGAUAAAAUAAGAUAAAAUAAAAUAAGAUAAGAUAAAAUAAGAUAAGAUAAGACAAGAUAAAAUAAGAUAAAAUAAGGUAAGAUAAAAUGAAAUAAGAUAAAAUAAGAUAAAAUAAGAUAAGAUAAGAUAAGAUAAAAUAAGAUAAGAUAAAAUAAGAUAAGAUAAAAUAAGAUAAGAUAAGAUAAGAUAAGAUAAGAUAAGACAAGAUAAAAUAAGAUAAGAUAAAAUAAGAUAAGAUAAAAUAAGAUAAGAUAAGAUAAAAUAAAAUAAGAUCAAAUAAGAUAAGAUAAGACAAGAUAAAAUAAGAUAAGAUAAAAUAAGAUAAGAUAAAAUAAGAUAAGAUAAAAUAAAAUAAGAUCAAAUAAGAUAAGAUAAGAUAAGAUAAGACAAGAUAAAAUA